GACGAACGCUGGCGGCGUGCUUAACACAUGCAAGUCGAACGGAAAGGCCCUGCUUGCAGGGUACUCGAGUGGCGAACGGGUGGGUAACACGUGGGUGAUCUGCCCUGCACUUCGGGAUAAGCUUGGGAAACUGGGUCUAAUACCGGAUAGGAGCCAUCUUUAGUGUGGUGGUUGGAAAGUUUUUUCGGUGUAGGAUGAGCUCGCGGCCUAUCAGCUUGUUGGUGGGGUAAUGGCCUACCAAGGCGGCGACGGGUAGCCGGCCUGAGAGGGUGUACGGCCACAUUGGGACUGAGAUACGGCCCAGACUCCUACGGGAGGCAGCAGUGGGGAAUAUUGCACAAUGGGCGCAAGCCUGAUGCAGCGACGCCGCGUGGGGGAUGAAGGCCUUCGGGUUGUAAACUCCUUUCGCUAGGGACGAAGCUUUGUUGUGACGGUACCUAGAUAAGAAGCACCGGCUAACUACGUG
rnacentral:rRNA from 1 species